UGCCGCGUGAGUGAAGAAGGCCUUCGGGUUGUAAAGCUCUUUUGUCAGGGAAGAAACGGGUGAGGCUAAUAUCCUUGCCUAAUGACGGUACCUGAAGAAUAAGCACCGGCUAACUACGUGCCAGCAGCCGCGGUAAUACGUAGGGUGCAAGCGUUAAUCGGAAUUACUGGGCGUAAAGCGUGCGCAGGCGGUUGUGCAAGACAGAUGUGAAAUCCCCGGGCUUAACCUGGGAAUUGCAUUUGUGACUGCACAGCUUGAGUGUGUCAGAGGGGGGUAGAAUUCCACGUGUAGCAGUGAAAUGCGUAGAUAUGUGGAGGAAUACCGAUGGCGAAGGCAGCCCCCUGGGAUAACACUGACGCUCAUGCACGAAAGCGUGGGGAGCAAACAGGAUUAGAUACCCUGGUAGUCCACGCCCUAAACGAUGUCUACUAGUUGUCGGGUCUUAAUUGACUUGGUAACGCAGCUAACGCGUGAAGUAGACCGCCUGGGGAGUACGGUCGCAAGAUUAAAACUCAAAGGAAUUGACGGGGACCCGCACAAGCGGUGGAUGAUGUGGAUUAAUUCGAUGCAACGCGCAAAACCUUACCUACCCUUGACAUGGUCGGAAUCCUGAAGAGAUUUGG
rnacentral:rRNA from 1 species